CUGUCGACCUCGGAUCAGGUAGGGUUACCCGCUGAACUAGCAUAUCGAAUAAGCGGAGGAAAAGAUCCAACAGGGAUUGCCCCAGUAACGGCUGAGCUGAAGCGGCAACACGCUCAAAGCUGAAAUCUGGCCCCGUCCGGGGUCCGAGUUGUAAUUUCGCAGAGGAUGACUUUCAGGCGAGGCGCCUUCCGACGUGUCCUGGUAACGGGCCGCCGGAGAGCGCGUGAGAGCCCCAGUACGGUAGGACGCCGAGCCGGUGUAAAGCUCCCUCGACGAGUCGAGUAGUUUGGGAAUGCUGCUCUAAACGGGAGGUAAACCCCUUCUAAACGCGUAAAUACCGGCCAGAGACCGAUAGCGCACAAGUAGAGUGAUCGAAAGAUGAAAAGCACUUUGAAAAGAGAGUCAAACAGCACGUGAAAUUGUUGAAAGGGAAGCGCUUGUGGCCAGACAUUGCGCCCCAGGCAGCUCAGCCGUCCCUCGCGGGCGGCGCACACUGCCGGCACAGCCCAGCACGCUCGAAGCAACGGCGCCGGCAGGUCGAGAACAGGUUCGCAGUGGUUUUGGAGUUCAG
rnacentral:misc_RNA from 1 species